rnacentral:rRNA from 1 species
AACGAACGCUGGCCGCAUGCCUAACACAUACAAGUCGAACGAGCCCUUCGGGUCUAGUGGCGCACGGGUGCGUAACUCGUCUUAACCUGCCCUUAGGUUCUGAAUAACUCCCCGAAAGGGCUUCUAAUACCGGAUAAUGUCUUCGUACCAAAGAUUUAUCGCCUUUGGAUGGGCCCGCGUUUUCUUAGCUAGUUGGUAGGGUAAAAGCCUACCAAGGCGACGAUCCAUAGCUGCUCUUAGAGGAUGAUCAGCCACACUGGGACUGAGACACGACCCAGACUCAUACGGGAGGCAGUAGUGGGGAAUAUUGGACAAUGGGAGAAAGCCUGAGCCAGCAAGGCCGCGUGAGUGAUGAAGGCCUUAGGGUUGGAAAGCUCUUUUAACCGGGAUGAUAAUGACAGUACCGGGAGAAGAAGCUCCGGCUAAAUCCGUG